UACGUAGGGGGCUAGCGUUGUCCGGAUUUAUUGGGCGUAAAGAGCGUGUAGGCGGCCAGGUAGGUCUGGUGUGAAAACUCGAGGCUUAACCUCGAGAUGUCAUCGGAAACCAUCUGGCUAGAGUCCGGAAGAGGAGAGUGGAAUUCCUGGUGUAGCGGUGAAAUGCGCAGAUAUCAGGAAGAACACCAAUGGCGAAAGCAGCUCUCUGGGACGGUACUGACGCUGAGACGCGAAUGCGUGGGGAGCGAACAGG
rnacentral:rRNA from 1 species